GCCUUUGUGGUGUAGUGGUCAGCAGGUCGAUGCAUAUUCGAGAGGUCCGUGGUUCGAAUCCAUGCGAAGGCG
rnacentral:tRNA from 1 species